ACCAUCUGAAUAUAUCUUUGCUAUACGUGGGCAUGAAAUGUACCAGUAAUUUGAUUGGCUGUAAGAUUCACCAUUGACUGACUGUUUUGCGUACUGUUGUCACACAAACGAACCAUACUUACACACUCACGUUGUAGACUACUGGUUUAUUUGCGGUAACUGAAUUUAAUAGUUUAUGAAAUAUGUUCAUCCCCUUCUAUGUCAGAAUUUUGUUUUUGGGUUUUGAUAAAGCAUAUGAACAUUCUUGUGACAUAAUUUUCACCAAAUGAUGAUAAACUUGUUGAGUUGACGUCAUAACUCAAGCAGUGAUUCUAGAUAUUACUACAACGCGGUUUUUUUUCUUCAUACAGUUUAUAAACUUCAAUUUGAUGAUACUUUAAACCAAUUUUAUUCGCGAAGACCUUUUUUUGGCGAUUUACCGAAAAAAACUGGUCCAUGACAACUUGUUUUAGCGAUCAAAAUGUACAUGUAGGAAUUAAAAGACCAGGAACUGGUUCACGGCGAGAAAUUUUCGCGUCAACGUUGCUCUCGCGAACCUCGCGAGUAAAAGUUGGUUUACAGUAAACAGCACUUGGUUACAUUCUUUCAUUUAAACAAAAUGUUUUAAGUCAUUGUGUUUGGAAAGAGAUCGGCUGUGACAACAACUUUCGAAUGUUUCCGCAAAUGGACAAAAAGCUGGUCGAUUUUUUUAAAAAAGCGUUCAGUGUUUGAAUUUACCCAGACCGUGGGUGUUUUAGAAUGUGACUGUAUGGGGAUAGGGGUUUUGUUUAUGAAUGCACGUGUUUUGCUUUGUACUGUUGAUAAAUGGAAUGAUCAAAUGUUGUUAGAUAGGGGUAUUAUUAAAUUCUAUGUUAA
rnacentral:misc_RNA from 1 species